UUAAUAUUCCCUCCGUCCGGAAAUACUUGUCAUAGGAAUGGAUGUAUCUAGACGUAUUUUAGUUCUAGAUACAUUUACUUUUAUCCAUUUUUGCGACAAAUAAUCCCGGACGGAGGGAAUAUUAA
rfam:Hordeum vulgare subsp. vulgare, WGS project CAJW01000000 data, contig: morex_contig_41604